AUAGAAAUGUAACUUAAGAUAGAAAAUAAUAUGACUUAAGAUAGAAAUAAUAUGACUUAAGUAGAAAUUUAAGAUAGGUUCAUCGCCUCUCUCCUUCUUUCGUUUCUUUGUUUAUUCCUUGUCCC
rnacentral:ribozyme from 1 species